UACGGAGGUGGCAAGCGUUGCUCGGAAUCACUGGGCGUAAAGGGCGCGUAGGCGGGGAGGUAAGUCGGGUGUGAAAUCCCUCGGCCCAACCGAGGAACUGCGCCCGAGACUGCUUCUCUUGAGUCCCGGAGAGGAAGAUGGAAUUCCCGGUGUAGCGGUGAAAUGUGUAGAGAUCGGGAGGAACACCGGUGGCGAAGGCGGUCUUCUGGACGGUGACUGACGCUGAGGAGCGAAAGCGUGGGGAGCGAACAGG
rnacentral:rRNA from 1 species